UUUUUGGAAUGUGGGAGGAAACCGGAGUACCCGGAGAAAACCCACGCAUGCACGGGGAGAACAUGCAAACUCCACACAGAGAUGGCCGAGGGUGGAAUUGAACCCUGGUCUCCGAGCUGUGAGGUCUGCGCGCUAACCACUCGUCCACCGUGCAGCUCCUGUUUCGUAUUAAUAUUAUAUAUAUUAUAACAACCGUCUCCAGCCGCAUCCAGACAUGAAGAAAAAGAAUGGAGAGGUAAAGGAGGAUGACAAUGAGGAAGGGCAGGAUGAAGACAAUAGCUAGAGGAGUGAAGACCCAUAAUAAGUACUCCAAAACACUCAGGCAUGACUGAUUCCCAGCAUCUGACAUCCUUCCUCCCUGUCAGUCACUGAAGAUGUCGCAGUCGAUACACCGCCGAUUGGAUCAGCUGAGCCUCUUUAAGCGUGGAUCCCGCCGAUCAUACUACAUGAAUGGAGAUAAAAUAAAUAAAUAAGACAAUGAUGUGGCUUUUGAGUAAGUACAACUAAUGUCAUGUUUCAUCGUUAGCCGCACCGUGACGUCACGAAAUCCAGCAUUGAUCACAUGACAAGAGAAGUCUGACAUGAUUACAUGGUGCUAGCUAGUCAAAAUGUAUGACACGAGCUAUGAACAAAGACACUAUUAAAUACGUAAUAACAUACUGGGAUAUGGAUCAGAAUAAUAGCAUACAUAAAUGGUGGGCAGUCGUCUGGUGAUGUUAACACAGUGAUAACACUCUCGUAACAGUAAACCAUGCACUUGUUAACAUAACCAUGAUCAACAGAAUAAAUACAAAGAAUUACCAAAGGCGGGAACCUUGCGUGCAGAUUCAUUCACUUAA